UCUCUUUUUUUGAGUAAAUGUUCUUAUUUGCUUUUCUAGUUCUAUCUUCUUUUUUUACUUUUUUCCCUUUAGAGUCUCGUAGCUCAGCUGGUUAGAGCGCUACACUGAUAAUGUAGAGGUCGGCAGUUCGAGUCUGCCCGAGACUACAUUUUAAAGGGGGGAUUAGCUCAGCUGGUUAGAGCGCCGCGUUUGCAACGCGGAGGUCAUCGGUUCGACUCCGAUAUUCUCCACUAAAAAGUUCUUUGACAUAUUGUAAUGAAUAUAUAUAAAUAAUAAUUUAAAAGUUAUUAAGGGCGUAUGGCGGAUGCCUUGGCUCUCAUUGGCGACGAAGGACGUGACAAGCUGCGAUAAGUUUCGAUUAGGUGCAAAUAACCUUUGACUCGAAGAUUUCCGAAUGGGG
rnacentral:misc_RNA from 1 species